GAUGCAGAGAUAGAUUAUCUGAUUGUCAAUCCAGGCCAGCACGUUAGAUGAAAAGAGAUGUGUAUUCAGUACUAUCAACUUAGUGUGAGUAGACUGUGAAUAAUCGGCACUGCACACAUUCGAGAACAUAGCAAGUAUCCCAACAAUAAUAUCAGAACGUCUUAGUAAACAUCUUACCAUAUUGUUCAUAUUAUCAAUCGGACUUAAUUGAACAUUAACAGUGAGGGGAGUGAACCAAAAAGUGGAUCCAGGAUAUCAUUAUUUCACUGAAGAUUCCUUAUUUAUUUCUACAGUUAUGACGUCAUGCAUGGUUCUACUCUUGGUCCUGGCCAUCAUGCAAGGCUACAAUGGUGCUCCGUCAACAAUGGAAAAGAAAUCGGAUAACACUCAGUCCUUAGCCAUGGCCUCUUUCCAUGACUACUGUCAAGCUAUUUGUGAAGUUUCAGCGUGCCCACCACAAUGCAUACAAGCUCCUAUCGGACCCUGGUCACGGAAACGGGCUGUGAGAACAUGGAAAAGGGCGUUCGAUCAGAACGCAUUUAACGGUUUGACGUUUGAUGACUAUGGAUGGUUUAUGAAGUUAUUAGGACGGGAUGUCGACAAGAGACGCAGCUGAAAGGUGUGUGGCUACAACGGAUGUCCAAGGAGAAUUUGUCAAUGUAAAAGUGAUUUUUUGACAUUUUAUUUUCAUGCUGUUCUGAGAAAAUUUUGCGUAUAGAAAUCCACCAUGACGAAGAAACUGUUGAACUUUUAUGAGAUUUGUGUUCUGUACGAAAUUGGUUCUAUUGGACAGGUCAACAUAAAACACAAAACCUAGCUUAUAUUGGACAGUUCAUGUUUACAUGUUCAUCUAAAGUUACUUUUGUAUGUGUAGUUGUAUGACUUUCCCACUCUACGCUAUUGUAUUUACGGUAAAUAUAUAUAUUUAUACGCUUAAACUGUGGAAUGCUCCAAACGUUGAGAAUUUUAUUUAGUUAUAUGCCUUAGGUGAUUCGAUACCUAGUCACUGUUAUGUUUGAUGAUUUAUAUUUAAUAAAACAUUGUGUGCUAUGAUUCGCUUAUGUAAUUAACAAUACACAGAUCCUGCAGCAUUCAAAGAUUCUUAAUAAUAGUAAUAAAUAUUUUAUUACAAAGAUCAAAAAGGAUACUUCGUACAAAACCUGCAGCUUGCAUGUUGUAUAAAUGCUUGUAAUUCCGGAUUUGUUGUAUGGCACCCUUUGUAGUCGUACUAGUCAAAGUACAAUGUUUCGUUUCCAUAUAUAUAAUCCUACGUUAAGUUUAUUUCUAAUUAUUUAUGUAUUUACUUAAGAUUUGGAGUUGUGUGUGUGUAUGUCUAUAGCCCCACUUUUUGUUGUAAACACAAUCAAGUCUGCAACAACACAGCAUUGCAUCGAAUCUGAGUUUCAAAUUUCAGAGAUGAGGGAGAAUUUGUUCAUCUCAUAUGAAUUAACAGACAUGAACAUGUUUAGUGUAGUUUAGAUAUUCAGACAUUUCUCUUCGAAAAUUUUGGCUAAGCUUUAAAGUAGUUAUAUGUUCGAUGAGAAAGUGACAGCAUUCAACAGACAUUAUAGAGUUAACUUGGUACUAUUUGUAGUGUUAUGAUUCCUUUAUAUUGUCAAUCGUUCAAAAAAGGCAAUUUGUUGAAAUAAAAAAUAUAACUCUA